CGCAGAAACCUUACCAGCCCUUGACAUGUCUAUGACCGGAUAACAGAGAUGGAACCUUCCCUUCGGGGCAUAGAGCACAGGUGCUGCAUGGCUGUCGUCAGCUCGUGUCGUGAGAUGUUGGGUUAAGUCCCGCAACGAGCGCAACCCCCGUCCUUAGUUGCUACCAUUUAGUUGAGCACUCUAAGGAGACUGCCGGUGAUAAGCCGCGAGGAAGGUGGGGAUGACGUCAAGUCCUCAUGGCCCUUACGGGCUGGGCUACACACGUGCUACAAUGGCGGUGACAAUGGGACGCUAAGGGGCAACCCUUCGCAAAUCUCAAAAAGCCGUCUCAGUUCGGAUUGGGCUCUGCAACUCGAGCCCAUGAAGUUGGAAUCGCUAGUAAUCGUGGAUCAGCAUGCCACGGUGAAUACGUUCCCGGGCCUUGUACACACCGCCCGUCACACCAUGGGAGUUGGUUCUACCUGAAGGCAGUGUGCUAACCCGCAAGGAGGCAGCUA
rnacentral:rRNA from 1 species